rfam:Hordeum vulgare subsp. vulgare, WGS project CAJW01000000 data, contig: morex_contig_57347
GACAGGAAGAGGAAGGAAAGAGGGCCUAAGAGCAGUGGGCAUGGGAGCAUGAUGGAAGGCUAAAGCUCUCUCAGUUCCUCGUGCAACGCUGAAUGAGGCUUUGGUUGAGUUUUCCUGAUGCCUCCUUUGCCUAUUGUUCUUUGGAGCUCCUUGCUCGUCCUUUUGUGU